CACAAGGACAGAACUGAUGAACUGGACUUAAGUUAUGCUACACAAGGACAGAACUGAUGAACUGGACUUAAGUUACGCUACACAAAGACAGAACUGAUGAACUGGACUUAAGUUAUGCUACACAAGGACAGAACUGAUGAACUGGACUUAAGUUAUGCUACACAAGGACAGAACUGAUGAACUGGACUUAAGUUACGUUACACAAAGACAGAACUGAUGAACUGGACUUAAGUUAUGCUACACAAGGACAGAACUGAUGAACUGCACUUAAGUUACGCUACACAAGGACAGAACUGAUGAACUGGACUUAAGUUACGCUACACAAGGACAGAACUGAUGAACUGGACUUAAGUUAUGCUACACAAAGACAGAACUGAUGAACUGGACUUAAGUUACGCUACACAAGGACAGAACUGAUGAACUGGACUUAAGUUAUGCUACACAAAGACAGAACUGAUGAACUGGACUUAAGUUACGCUACACAAGGACAGAACUGAUGAAC